CUUAUGACUAAACAUCUGCACAAGCCUUGACAAUGUCUGGGGCUUAAGAUGAUUUCAGAGCUCACAGACAUUUCCAUACAGAUUGAGAUCAGGAAUGCCAAAUCUGAGUGUGGAGAGAAUUGCUCUUGCCAAGUUACACAACAUGGAAAAUAAACCCUUGUAACAGAAGCACUCCUAGGAGCUGCUGCAUGGCUAGGGGUGCUGUAGCAGCAUCCUGCAGGCAGGGUCCUGCUUUUCCCAAGAUACGUAAUAGCUUGUUAACACAAGAAUGCAAGGACAAAUCUUCAGCAAGUAGGGAAUAA
ensembl:lncRNA